rnacentral:rRNA from 1 species
GAUGAACGCUGGCGGCGUGCCUAAUACAUGCAAGUCGAACGCAUAGCGAAAGGUGCUUGCACCUUUCAAGUGAGUGGCGAACGGGUGAGUAACACGUGUACAACCUGCCUCAAGGCUGGGGAUAACAUUUGGAAACAGAUGCUAAUACCGAAUAAAACUUAGUGUCGCAUGCCACAAAGUUAAAAGGCGCUUCGGCGUCACCUAGAGAUGGAUCCGCGGUGCAUUAGUUAGUUGGUGGGGUAAAGGCCUACCAAGACAAUGAUGCAUAGCCGAGUUGAGAGACUGAUCGGCCACAUUGGGACUGAGACACGGCCCAAACUCCUACGGGAGGCUGCAGUAGGGAAUCUUCCACAAUGGGCGAAAGCCUGAUGGAGCAACGCCGCGUGUGUGAUGAAGGCUUUCGGGUCGUAAAGCACUGUUGUAUGGGAAGAACAGCUAGAAUAGGAAAUGAUUUUAGUUUGACGGUACCAUACCAGAAAGGGACGGCUAAAUACGUG